rfam:Solanum lycopersicum cultivar Heinz 1706 chromosome 12, whole genome shotgun sequence.
UGAUGAUGAUGAGGGCAAUUCAUCAACAUCGAUUUGAACCUGUCCCAAGCUUGGUACAAGUUCUCACCACCCUUCUGCCUAAAACUUAAUAUGUCACUCCUCAACUU